UUUUAGUUUUCUUAAAACAUUUAGUAUGAUCAAGCAAUCAGAAUAAUAAUGCAAGUAUCAUCAGAUCAUAUUAGGGUUUCAAGACCCAUUUUUCGGUUUGAUUUUAUCAAUAUCAAGCUUUACAAAAGAAUUAAAUCAGAUCAAUCAGUCAAUUUUAGCAAUUCUCUAGCAAUCCUAACAGUAAAAGGAAAAUUUCCAUCAAGUAGAAAAGGAAAUUUCAGGAAAAAUGAAAUUUUCUACUUUUAGCAAAAAGGAAAUUCAC
rnacentral:lncRNA from 1 species